GAGGGUAUAGCGUAGUGGUAGAGUGCAUGCCUCGCAAGCUCAAGGUCCUGGAUUCAAUUCCCAGUACCUCCA
rnacentral:tRNA from 1 species